rnacentral:rRNA from 1 species
UACGUAGGGGGCAAGCGUUGUCCGGAAUUAUUGGGCGUAAAGAGCGUGUAGGCGGUCCGGUAAGUCGGCUGUGAAAGUCCAGGGCUCAACCCUGGGAUGCCGGUCGAUACUGUCGGACUAGAGUUCGGAAGAGGCGAGUGGAAUUCCCGGUGUAGCGGUGAAAUGCGCAGAUAUCGGGAGGAACACCUAUGGCGAAGGCAGCUCGCUGGGACGUUACUGACGCUGAGACGCGAAAGCGUGGGGAGCAAACAGG